GUCUAUUUUACUACAGUAAACUUGCCGGAUUUACAUUUCAAAUAUAAACGUAUUUGGUCAACGAAAUGAUCUAGUAUAUAUGAGUUGUGGUAAGCGAAUGAAAUGAAAUAUAUCUAUAGAAUUUCACCUGCCAAUUUUUUUUAUUUUGGCAACAGAUUCCCCUUAUAUAUUACGUUUUCGUAGCGCUUUGCAUUGUGGUUAUAGUGGUAUCACUGAUAAAGAUAGCGGCCUCGAAUGAAAAUAUUGAAUUUUUCGCGAAUAUUUUGCUGUUGGCUAUCACGCGCCUGACCCUAGCUUUUUUUAAAAGUUGCACGGGUCAGAACAAAAAAUAAGCCAUCUUGAAAGUCAGUGAUACCACUAUAACCACAAUGCAAAGCGCUACGAAAACGUAAUAAGGGGAAUUUUUGCCUGCCAUUUCUAAAAUAUGGCCUGCUUUUGGCCAUUGGCAGCCCGCUAUUUCGACUGGUCAAUCGCGAAAACAAGGCUCAAGGCCGAAGAGUCAUACUUUCUGGAAGCCUCUAUUGCACAUACAGUCAGCCUUAACGUGAAAAUAAUGCUGGGUGGGCGCGCACCCCUUUAUAUCGAUGUUUAUUUUACAUGUAAUCAAGCAAACCUAUGGGGAAAUUAAUGGCCAAAUAUAUGUCAUACACACAUGUGUGCAUUGUGUCUUGUUUUAGAGAUGAUGUUAUCAAGAUGUUGUUGAAUACCGAUUCCUUUUGUAAUAGGCCAUUGAGAAGUGACAUUA